UCGAUUUUAAGAAAGAUCCAUCUUUUUUUUUAAAUUCUUCUAAACGAGGAACCAUGAGAACAUCCUGUACAAAAGAAGCUUACAAAAUGACUAACGAUCUUGUUGGCUAACGUUCCGUCUAUCGACGCCGCUAAUUCGUCAUUUCUCGCACGUCGAGUGAUUCACGGAGCUUCAACAGGAUAACGAGGGAACCGGUCGUCGACGGUUCAUACACACACACGCGCGCGCGCACACACACAUGUACACACACAGGCCGGCCAUUAUGCGGCUCCACUUGGUCGCUCUCGUUUCGACGAUCACAAUGACUCGUUGUGUUCCACCGAGGAUGUACCACGCCACGGCUCAAGGUUCUCCUCGUCGCGUUUUGUCGGGAUUGCACAAUUAUGCGAAAUAUCCGAGCGCGGGGCACGAAACCGAGUGAAUUACACGGCUAAUAAUUGGAGCAGAGGUCGUUGAAUUGAGCUCGUUCUUCCGAGAGGCCGAGGAAUUGAAACAAAUGAUUAUUGAAUAACUGAACGUGAUCGACAUCAAGGUUUCAGAUGGUUGGUUCUCGUGAAACCAUCGUUGCACUCGUCAACUUCGUGUUUUCGUUUUCGUAACGAUGAGGAGUUUAUAAAGAAAUACUUUUAUUAUGUGUGAUUAUAUUUGUGCACGUUGAAUAUUGAUGAUACGACCUUUUGAUACAGUUGGACUGUGAGAUAAUGAUAAUGGAAAUAAUAUCGUUUAAGGAUUUUUUAGGUUAUAUUUUUGUUUGGAGGUUAUAUUAAUCUCAUUCUAUUGUAGAUGUAAUGUAUACUCAAAGAAUAAAUAACUACUUAACGUUAUAUAAAGAUGUAUUCGAAGUGUACAAACAGAUAGAUAAUUUGAGUUAAAUUGUAAGAAACACUUGAAAGUAUCUAUUAACAUAUUUGCUCGCUGCUUGUACGUCAUGACCAAAGUCAAUACACAACGAGAAUGACAAACAUAAUCGUACUAUGAACUAACUAAUUCUCAUUUCGACAUAUGUAAAAUGUAUAAUAUAUAUAUAUAUCAAUGAAUAAUGAAAUAAAAAUAUUUGUUAUACAAAAUGAAUUUGUCCAAAUGCAAAAAUAAUACUUCAAGGAUCUCAAUCCCUUGCCUUUAAUGUUUUCUUCAAACAAACUAUAUGUAUAUUCCAAAUAAAUCACCUUAAACCACGCUACCGGAUCGACUAAACAUCGAAACGCUUUCAAACCGAACGAAUAAUCGAUUUCCCGGAACGCUACGAUCGAAACAAAUCGAAGAAUCGAUCUCUUCAUGCGUAAGCAACGUAUUUGUUUCCUCUUCGUUCGUAUAAACUCGACCGAUCGACAGAGAGAAAAAGAGAGAGAGAGAGAGAGAGAAGACGUUUUUAGAACGCGACAACGGUGUUACUUAAGCUAUUAUUUAAGUGGCUGGCAAGAGGGACAUUUUAAGUUGUCGUUGGUGGAGUGCAAUGCUGUCGCUACGUGUCCUUGACGAGCCUGUCAUUGGAAUUCAUGGCGAGUGACACAAAAGAAGGGAAAAAACCGUAACGAUGAAUACCGGGCUUGUAUAUGCAUUGUGAAAGAGAGUCGGUAUGCAGGAGAGCCAUAAUAUGCCAUCUCGUGGCAUAAUCUUGUAACAAGAAUUAUCUCACAUUACAUGCGGACGAGCACAGGGAGAGGGAUAUGAAACACACGUUGCUUUAUACGCAUCACCGUUUUGACGGUUCCGCUCGUAACAUUGCGUAAUACGCUAGUGAUUCACGCGUGUUUGCCGCGACGCAAAACUGAGAGACUGACAUAAACGUGGCUGUGAACAUUCAAGAGGCCGAGGAAUAAUUCAAACGCUUCGCACACCGACGUGUACAAGGCGUUACCGAAUUUAAUUUUACAAUUUUUGCAAACAAUACCUGUUUUCCAGUUUUCUUCUGAUCUACGCGAGAAGAGAAAAAAAUGUUACGUGAAUAUUUAAGUCGUUUAAAAUUGUAUUAAAAAUUUAUGGCGAAAAAUAACGAAAUGUGAAAGUCGCAAUCACUAAAUAUCUAAAUUUAACGCUAAAAGUAUUAUGCUACUAUUGACGAUAGCAAAGUUUGGUCAUUAAAACUUGGAACAACACUGUGUACAACUAUUUUUGCGAAAGAUUUGCAUUUAAAUGGCUCGCGCUGCUUAACAUCCGCUUCGGCGCAAUAUGAUUUCACGCUAUUCUAAUGCUGCUCGUUUAAUCUGUUCCUGUUGUUCUCUUUUCUUUUUACCUUCUUCUUUUAUUACUUUGUGCUUUCAAGGAUUAGAUCAUCUUUGUUUGUUCAAAAGAUUUUUUUAGUAACUCGAUACUUUAACGUCUUCUAGAAGAUGUAAUACAAUAUAUAAAUUUAAAAGUAAGAUAUAAUUAAAUCUAAUAUUGAAAUUCAAAUUUUUAUUUCAAUUAUAUUUCUAUUUCUAUUCAAAGAACGUGUUAAUAUUUUAAAAAAAAAUUUGAUUGUUGAUUUUUAAGAAAACUAAAAGAGUAGAAAAUAAUCUUGUUGACAAAUCGGAAGACAAAAAAUAAAGAUAAUAACGGGAAGCUAAAAAGUAGACGGACGUGAAAAAGGAAUCGUAAAAUACUAGCGUGAAAUUACUUCCGCCAUAUUACUUUCACCAGUCAAGCGAAUUUCAUAAAUUAAAAAGACAGUCGCGUGAAGACAACAGCUGUAUAAUUCUGUGAACUUAAAUAAAUAUCGUAAAGUUAUACAUAGUGAACAUGGAUGAUAAUUUUUGUAUAUUAAAA